GCCGUAAGUGGUCAACUAAGUGGUCAAGCCACUUCAGAGCAACAUAAAGCUGAUCUCUGCGCCAGUGGUUUUGUAAACAGCUGGCCGUCAGUUCGAAUCUGACCGUCGGCUCCA
rnacentral:tRNA from 1 species